UACGUAGGUGGCAAGCGUUAUCCGGAUUUAUUGGGCGUAAAGGGAACGCAGGCGGUCUUUUAAGUCUGAUGUGAAAGCCUUCGGCUUAACCGGAGUAGUGCAUUGGAGACUGGGAGAUUUGAGUGCAGAAGAGGAGAGUGGAACUCCAUGUGUAGCGGUGAAAUGCGUAGAUAUAUGGAAGAACACCAGUGGCGAAAGCGGCUCUCUGGUCUGUAACUGACGCUGAGGUUCGAAAGCGUGGGUAGCAAACAGG
rnacentral:rRNA from 1 species